GGGCGCCAUUUUUCUCGCCGCGCAGGGAGGACUGACUAACGUGGGCGGAGCUCUAGCUCGCGUAUUCUGAGGAGGCGGGGUUGGCCUAGGCGAAGAUCCGGACUCUGGUGUUUUGCUACCGUGACCGUUUAGUUUGGACAAUUCCGGGGAUAAAAAGUCCGAUCCUU
rnacentral:sRNA from 1 species